UGGAUGCUACAACAAUUUCAAUUGGAUGCAUUUAGUGCAGAAAUGGUGAUUCAUUUAGUGCAGGUUGUGAUUUCCGUUUUGUUAGCUAGUAGCAUUGAUUUAUCCUUAGGCAUAAGCGGUGAUUGAUGGGAAGAAAGGAUGUCACGGUGUGGCUUGGAGGAAGCAGCACAAUGUUUUUAAUUCUUGGGAGGAGCACCCACGCUGCC
rnacentral:lncRNA from 1 species